AAGACAAACACAACUUCACACAAACACGAACACGAACACUUUCCCUCUUUGAGAAGCCCUAACACAAAAAAAUCUUCUUGUGUGCAUCUCGCUGCAAACGGCCAGGCUUUCCAUCGUCGUCUCUGUCUCCGGUCACCAUCGUCGUCUCUAUAUCCGGAUAACAUUGUCGUCUCUGUCUUCGGUCACCAUAGAAGGGACCCCAGGCCCUAAAUGAUAACACACGGCUUAUAAACAAAACCCUAAAUUCAAAGACAAAAAUUCCUAUAAAGAAGCGAUCCUUUUGUCUGAUCGAUUGAUUUGCUUGAGAAUCCGGCAAUUGAUGAUGUUGUUGUGUUAUCGAUUGUGCUGCAAGAGGUCAAGAACAAGAAUCUUUCAGUUUAUAACAGAGUUAGAGCCCUGUGCAGCAAUUCUACGAGGAAGUUCUUUGUUUCCUCUAACGAACAUCACAACAAUUCUAGUGGCAACUCAGUGGUAUCAUAACCAUCUUGGUGGUGCAACAUGGGUCUUAUUAAUCACAAAUGACACAUAAAAUAAGAGGAAAGCCACUGAAGAGGGAAUUUCUGCAGAGACAGGUUUCACAUUGAUUGCAAUCUAGCUCCCCUUCUGGAUUCAGAUUUCUUUUGGGAUUUUGAUAUGUCUAUGCGAUUAGCAUUAUGUAAUAUUGGAUUUAUAGCAUUUUGAUAUGUGCUGGAAUUAUCAUUUUAGAUGAUUUGCAUAUUUUAAUAUCUAAAUUCUUAAUGGAAUAUGUGUUUUAUCUUC